rnacentral:tRNA from 1 species
GGACUUAGCUCAGUGGUAGAGCACUUGCCUAGCAAGCACAAGGCCCUGGGUUCAGUCCCCAGCUCCG